UUUGAAGUCUUCGGAUGGAUAGAAGAACCCCUGAUGCCGUCGAGCCAAGAAAAGUUUCUAAGUUUAGCUAAUGUUGCCCGUACCGUAAACCGACACAGGUGGGUGGGAUGAGUAUUCUAAGGCGCGUGGAAGAACUCUCUUUAAGGAACUCUGCAAAAUAGCACCGUAUCUUCGGUAUAAGGUGUGGUUCGCUUCGUAUUAGGAUUUACUCCGAAAGCGAAGAAACUUACAACAAAGAGUCCCUCCCGACUGUUUACCAAAAACACAGCACUCUGCUAACUCGUAAGAGGAUGUAUAGGGUGUGACGCCUGCCCGGUGCUCGAAGGUUAAUUGAUGGGGUUAGCAUUAGCGAAGCUCUUGAUCGAAGCCCGAGUAAACGGCGGCCGUAACUAUAACGGUCCUAAGGUAGCGAAAUUCCUUGUCGGUUAAAUACCGACCUGCAUGAAUGGCGUAACGAGAUGGGAGCUGUCUCAAAGAGGGAUCCAGUGAAAUUGUAGUGGAGGUGAAAAUUCCUCCUACCCGCGGCAAGACGGAAAGACCCCGUGGACCUUUACUACAGCUUGACACUGCUAUUUGGAUAAGAAUGUGCAGGAUAGGUGGGAGGCUUUGAGUAUAUGACGCCAGUUGUAUAUGAGCCAUUGUUGAGAUACCACUCUUUCUUAUUUGGGUAGCUAACCAGCUUGAGUUAUCCUCAAGUGGGACAAUGUCUGGUGGGUAGUUUGACUGGGGCGGUCGCCUCCCAAAUAAUAACGGAGGCUUACAAAGGUUGGCUCAGAACGGUUGGAAAUCGUUCGUAGAGUAUAAAGGUAUAAGCCAGCUUAACUGCAAGACAUACAAGUCAAGCAGAGACGAAAGUCGGUCUUAGUGAUCCGGUGGUUCUGUGUGGAAGGGCCAUCGCUCAAAGGAUAAAAGGUACCCCGGGGAUAACAGGCUGAUCUCCCCCAAGAGCUCACAUCGACGGGGAGGUUUGGCACCUCGAUGUCGGCUCAUCGCAUCCUGGGGCUGGAGCAGGUCCCAAGGGUAUGGCUGUUCGCCAUUUAAAGCGGUACGCGAGCUGGGUUCAGAACGUCGUGAGACAGUUCGGUCCCUAUCUGCCGUGGGCGUAAGAAGAUUGAAGAGAUUUGACCCUAGUACGAGAGGACCGGGUUGAACAAACCACUGGUGUAGCUGUUGUUCUGCCAAGAGCAUCGCAGCGUAGCUAAGUUUGGAAAGGAUAAACGCUGAAAGCAUCUAAGCGUGAAGCCAACUCUAAGAUGAAUCUUCUCUAAGCUCUCUAGAAGACUACUAGUUUGAUAGGCUGGGUGUGUAAUGGAUGAAAGUCCUUUAGCUGACCAGUACUAAUAGAGCGUUUGGCUUAUCUUU
rnacentral:rRNA from 1 species